rnacentral:rRNA from 1 species
UACGGAGGAUCCGAGCGUUAUCCGGAUUUAUUGGGUUUAAAGGGGGCGCAGACGGCGAUGCAAGCCAGGAGUGAAAGCCCGGGGCCCAACCCCGGGACUGCUCUUGGAACUGCGUGGCUGGAGUGCAGGAGGGGCAGGCGGAAUUCCUGGUGUAGCGGUGAAAUGCGUAGAUAUCAGGAGGAACACCGGUGGCGAAGGCGGCCUGCUGGACUGCAACUGACGUUGAGGCUCGAAAGCGUGGGGAGCAAACAGG